UUUAGUAUAAUUUAAUAUAAAAAAAUAUUAAAUUUUAAAUUAUUAGAAUGUUAAUAAUUUAAAUUCAUAUGAAAAAUGAAUUACUAUUUCUUUAAACCAUUUUAAAUAUAUUAUUUAUGUUUUUGAGAUAUAAAUUAUUAUAGUUUUGAAUAAAAUAUUGAUAUUUAAGUUUAUGAAAAAAUAUUUUAUAUAUUAAGUCUAAGACUAAUUAUAAAAA
rnacentral:tRNA from 1 species